GUAAGACCUGCAAGCUUUGUUGCUGCAACCGUAGCUUUUAUCGUAGCUACACGAAAAUUCAAUCACCACCAGAAAUAGAAAUCUUGAGCCAAAAGAUAGUAAUUUUUUUUUUUUUUUUUUUUUUUUUAACUACAAAUCAGCUUUUGAGAAUCCAAAAUCUGAGAAAAUCAAGUCAUCAUCUUCUUCCUCUUGCCCUUGGGACUGAUUGGUUUGCAUUAUUAUUCUUCUUUAGAAUAAGAUUCACCAUUGUUACUCAUUAACGAGAGUUUGGAACUACAAAGAGAUCUUUGAAGUUUGAUAAACUUUGUUCAGAUCGAAGAAAGCAAAACGUUUUAGUCACCCACGACUUAUAAACGUUGCUUGUUUUGACAGUAAAAUCAAAUGAUUCCCGAGCAGAACGGCGGAGCUCCGGCGAAGACCACCGUCCUUGUUAAGAGCUCGGACUUAACUUUUCUAGGAAAGCUAAUUAUCUUUAACUUGAAAAUGACCUCGCUAGAUCUGGAUUGAGAAAAUGGAGAGAGUGAAGAUGGAGGCGGUGGUUUCCAGCAAGAUGGCCACCAGUGAAAAAAUGAGGAUUUUGGUGUCCAAACUUCACAGAUCUCCGCCAAACUCUUCAGCUGCUAAGAGCGAGAGAUGAUGGGGAAGAAUCAGUGAGGCAGAGACUAUCCAGAUCUGUUGUUUUCAGGCCAAAGAGAGCCGGCACGGAGGAGCCGUACACUCGGUCCGUACUGUCGCCAUUUACAUCGCCCGCUUCAAAAUUCUUUCAUUUGUAGGCACACUUAUACAGACG
rnacentral:lncRNA from 1 species